AGUCACUGACAUUAGAUACCCCGGUAGUCCAGGGUGUAAACGCUGCAGACUUGGUGUUGGAAGCCCUUUGGGGGCAUUCAGUGCCGGAGAGAAGUUGUUAAGUCUGCUACUUGGGAGUACGUCCGCAAGGAUGAAACUUAAAGGAAUUGGCGGGGAGCACCGCAGCGGGAGGAGCGUGCGGUUUAAUUGGAUCCAACACCGUAAAACUCACCAGGGAAGACUGUUACAUGAAAGCCGAGAUGAAGACUUUGCUAGAUUUUCAG
rnacentral:rRNA from 1 species